AGACCCGAAACCCGGUGAUCUAGCCAUGGGCAGGUUGAAGGUUGGGUAACACUAACUGGAGGACCGAACCGACUAAUGUUGAAAAAUUAGCGGAUGACCUGUGGCUGGGGGUGAAAGGCCAAUCAAACCGGGAGAUAGCUGGUUCUCCCCGAAAGCUAUUUAGGUAGCGCCUCGUGAAUUCAUCUCCGGGGGUAGAGCACUGUUUCGGCUAGGGGGCCAUCCCGGCUUACCAACCCGAUGCAAACUGCGAAUACCGGAGAAUGUUAUCACGGGAGACACACGGCGGGUGCUAACGUCCGUCGUGAAGAGGGAAACAACCCAGACCGCCAGCUAAGGUCCCAAAGUCAUGGUUAAGUGGGAAACGAUGUGGGAAGGCCCAGACAGCCAGGAUGUUGGCUUAGAAGCAGCCAUCAUUUAAAGAAAGCGUAAUAGCUCACUGGUCGAGUCGGCCUGCGCGGAAGAUGUAACGGGGCUAAACCAUGCACCGAAGCUGCGGCAGCGAACGUAUCACCCAAGACAACUUUACGGAGUUGACGAUUGACGGAGCGAAGCGACGUCAAAGCGUUCAUUAAAGUCGAGUUGGCUUAGGGAUACGUUCGUUGGGUAGGGGAGCGUUCUGUAAGCCUGUGAAGGUGUGUCGUGAGGCAUGCUGGAGGUAUCAGAAGUGCGAAUGCUGACAUAAGUAACGAUAAAGCGGGUGAAAAGCCCGCUCGCCGGAAGACCAAGGGUUCCUGUCCAACGUUAAUCGGGGCAGGGUGAGUCGACCCCUAAGGCGAGGCCGAAAGGCGUAGUCGAUGGGAAACGGGUUAAUAUUCCCGUACUUGGUGUUACUGCGAAGGGGGGACGGAGAAGGCUAUGUUGGCCGGGCGACGGUUGUCCCGGUUUAAGCGUGUAGGUGUGUGUUCCAGGUAAAUCCGGUUCACUUUAACACUGAGGCGUGACGACGAGGCACUACGGUGCU
rnacentral:rRNA from 5 species